UUUCCCCUUCCUGAACAAAUGAAAUUCCAAAGAAAUUCAAAAGUAGGCUUGCCUGAUGGAAUCUGGAUGCUUGCCCUAGCCAAGAACUGUCUAUUGGUGGUAAGUAAAGGUGUGAGUAACUGAGAAAUCAGUGACUGUGUUGUUCUCUUGCAUGAUAAUUUUUGUUUCUGCUUUCAGUUUAUAGUUGCAUUGUUGGCACUGGUGUAUGACGCAUUGUUGGCAUUGAAGUAUUAUUUUGCUUGUUAUUUGUCUUUUAAGUUUAUACCUUCUUUGAUUAAGGAGCACUUCAGUUUGAUAGGUUACUAAAGAAUUAUUACAACAUAUAUCAACAGAGAAUUGCUCUCUAAGGAACGGAAAAACCUGUUUUGGGAGUUUACUGAUCUCUGGUUAGAACCAGAUAAAGGCUCAGAUUGUUUGACAGCCAAAUGCUGCAUUCACAAAAUUGUCCAUGAUGGGCGCUUGCUUCUAAGUGAACCCUUGGGAUCAGUUUUUGAAUUUUCUCUUAUGCUUCGGUUAGCAUCUCCUACACUAGUGCUCUACUGGCAGUUGGCGGAGGAUUCUUUAUCUUCUUAUCCUUCUGACGACGAAACCAACUCAGAACAUGUUAUGGGAGACUUGUCAGAGCCAAUUUCAAGAGUCAAGGCAGAACCUUUUCUCAUAUGCAGAAACCUGUGAAGCCCUGGAGGAAGUAGUUGCUGGGUAGAUACUGGUAGUGCACUACUGUUCAAUGUUACUGAUCUUCUUUCAUGGCUUGACACUUCAGCCAAACUAGCUGUGGGAUCUGCUGAGUAGGCUGAACUUUUUGAUUUUGAUCACAUAUAUUUUGGUUCAAGUAUUGCCAGUCCAGUUGCUAUUCUAUAUGGAGCUCUUGGACCAGAAUGCUUUAGAGAGUUUCAUGUUACCUUGGUGGAAGCAUCAAAAAAAGAAGAAGAACUCAUUUCACCUAAAGGAAUGUGCAGUUUCCAUAGCAUUGGCAAUUGGAUUGGUCACUGGUGUUCCUACAUUGGACUGGCCUGCACAUGCAUCCCCUUGAGGCCCUGUGCUGCCUGAUCUGUCAGUGCUAAUUUCUGGACCACCUAUUAAGGAUCCUGGUGCCUUGUUGAGGUAUGCAUUGCCAAUCAAUAACAAAGCCAUUCGGGAGGUUCAAAAGCCUCUUGAGGAUAUCACAGACAGUCUCAAGGUCUCCGGGGUUAGAGCAUUGGAUUUAGUUGAGAGAGUAAGCAUAACUAAAAAAAAUCUCAUUCUGAGAUCUUAUUUGCUAUUCCUUACAAUUUCUGCAGUCACUCAAGUGAUUUUUGUUUUAUAAUUACUGAAUUAUACAUGUUACAGUAUGUCAUGUAAAAUGAUGUUCUUAAAUGAGUACAUUGUGCUCAUCUUUGGCUUUGCUUUACAAAAAGCAGUUUCACCAUUCUUCAACUCGAAAAUAAAAAGGAAUGAGUUUGAAAGAAGCUGAUUUUCAUAAUGCUUAAUAAAAAGUGCUGCUCACACAAGCAGAGGUCAAAUAGCUUCUUCUACGAGAUGCUAGAGAAACUAGUUUUCAUUUCAUGCUUGUAUCGAUCACAUUAUA